UCUGAAGGGCAUGUCACACGUUCUUCAAGCUCACUCUGCCAGCCACUGGAGAAUGGACGUAAUGGAGCCAAGGAUGGCACCAGGAAGUCACGGGGGCAGUGUUUGCUGCUGUCCAGGCAAUCACAGUAUUGGUGUCGUGUCUCAGCAGGCUGGGGGUUGGGGCCCUGGAUUCAAAGCAUCCAUCUGAACAUAUUGUCACCCGUGCAUCCUGAGAGAGACAGCUUCAUGGAGUGGAGGUGUGUGGCCUGGAGGCCCCACGUAGGCCACCAGGCAUGUUUUCCACGAAAACCGAAACUUCUGACGGGAUUACUAACAUUGGGAGAUUUCCGUUUCUUGGACGCCAGUGGAGGGGCUGCACCAGCCUUAAAAGAAAUCAUGUGAGCCUCCACGAAUCAGCAAACAAAGGAGAAAUUAAGGUUCUGCCCACUUUUGUGGUUUUUGCUUUUC
rnacentral:lncRNA from 1 species